rnacentral:ncRNA from 1 species
GGUCAUGAGCGCCAGCGCGAAGCCCCGGCUCGCUGGCCGGCAACCCUCCUCCACGGUGGGGUGCUCCGGGUGAGGACCAGGCACCGGCGCAGCGCCGGUGCAAGCGUGGCCU